GAUCAUGGCUCAGGACGACGCUGGCGGCGUGCUUAACACAUGCAAGUCGAACGAAGCAAGGGGCUUGCCCCUUGACUUAGUGGCGGACGGGUGAGUAACGCGUGAGCAACCUGCCUCUAUCAGGGGAAUAACACAGAGAAAUUUGUGCUAAUACCGCAUAUUAUCCUAAAACGGCAUCGUUUUUUGGAUGAAAGAUUUAUCGGAUAGAGAUGGGCUCGCGUCCCAUUAGAUAGUUGGUGAGGUAACGGCCCACCAAGUCGACGAUGGGUAGCCGACCUGAGAGGGUGAUCGGCCACAUUGGAACUGAGAACGGUCCAGACUCCUACGGGAGGCAGCAGUGAGGAAUAUUGGGCAAUGGAGGCAACUCUGAACCCCCAGCAACGCCGCGUGAAUGAUGAAGGCCUUCGGGUUGUAAAGUUCUGUGAUGGGGAACGAAGAAAGUGACGGUACCCCAAGAGCAAGCCACGGCUAACUACGUGCCAGCCGCCGC
rnacentral:rRNA from 1 species